rnacentral:rRNA from 1 species
CCUACGGGAGGCAGCAGUAGGGAAUAUUGCUCAAUGGGGGAAAGCCUGAAGCAGCAACGCCGCGUGGAGGAUGAAGGUUUUCGGAUUUUAAACUCCUUUUGUUAGAGAGGAUAAUGACGGUAUCUAACGAAUAAGCACCGGCUAACUCCGUGCCAGCAGCCGCGGUAAUACGGAGGGUGCCAGCGUUACUCGGAAUCACUGGGCGUAAAGCGCGCGUAGGCGGGAUAGCAAGUCAGAUGUGAAAUCCUUGGGCUUAACCAUAGAACUGCAUUUGAAACUGUUAUUCUAGAGUAUGGGAGAGGUAGGUGGAAUUCUUGGUGUAGGGGUAAAAUCCGUAGAGAUCAAGAGGAAUACUCAUUGCGAAGGCGACCUGCUAGAACAUAACUGACGCUGAUGCGCGAAAGCGUGGGGAGCAAACAGGAUUAGAUACCCCGGUAGUC